rnacentral:SRP_RNA from 1 species
GGGCAAGUCUCUUACGACCAGCUCCCGCUGAACCCCCCAGGGCCGGAAGGCAGCAAGGGUAAGCGGUUGAGCGGUGCGAUAAGAAUCGCUUGCCCCUU